rnacentral:rRNA from 1 species
UAGGGAAUAUUGCAAAAUGGGCGAAAGCCCGAUGCAGCAACGCCGCGUGGGCGAUGAAGGCCUUCGGGUCGUAAAGCCCUUUUUGAGGGGAUGAGGAAGGACAGUACCCUCAGAAUAAGCCUCGGCUAACUACGUGCCAGCAGCCGCGGUAAAACGUAGGAGGCGAGCGUUAUCCGGAUUUACUGGGCGUAAAGCGCGUGCAGGCGGAUUGGAGAGUUGGAUGUGAAAGCUCCCGGCUUAACUGGGAGAGGUCGUUCAAUACUUCCAGUCUUGAGUGCAGUAGAGGGCAGUGGAAUUCCGGGUGUAGUGGUGAAAUGCGUAGAUAUCCGGAGGAACACCAGUGGCGAAAGCGGCUUCCUGGACUGUAACUGACGCUCAGACGCGAAAGCUAGGGUAACAAACG